rnacentral:tRNA from 1 species
GUGGGUGUAGCUCAGUUGGCAGAGCGGCUGAAUGUGGCUCAGCAGGUCGCGGGUUCGAGUCCCGUCACUCACCCCA